CCCAGGAGCCACAAGUGGCAACCACCUUUAUUGGGCCUAAAGCGUCCGUAGCCGGUUUUGUAAAUUUUCUGUGAAAUCGUUGCGCUUAACGUAACGGCGAGCAGAAAACACUGCAAGACUCGGGACCGGGAGGAGUCAGAGGUAUUUGAGGGGGAGCGGUAAAAUGCUAUAAUCCUUCAAGGACCACCUGUGGCGAAGGCGUCUGACUAGAACGGAUCCGACGGUGAGGGACGAAAGCUAGGGGAGCAAUCCGG
rnacentral:rRNA from 1 species